rnacentral:lncRNA from 1 species
CCCAUUUGUGAACAGUCACAAAAUUAACAGCAGGAGAGGAGACUGUGCCAACCAGUGGGGCUCUGAUGACGUCUCCCAGCACAGGCACUAGGAUCUCAUGGCCUCUGUGUCAAAACAGUUUCACCGCUUUGCUGGCAGGUCUAAGGUGACAUGGAUAUCAAGACCUGCAGACGGAACUUGACAGUCCCCAGCUCACUGAAAUUGUCCCCCUGUGUCCAGCACCAUGCACCGGACUUUGGUAACUACAUGGAAACUUCUGGGAAAGUGUCGCAAACAGUGGCAGACACGUCUGACAGAAUCUAUUGGUCAAUGAGGGUGGAACCAGCCCAGGAGAAAGAAGUUUGUUGCAGUCAACAAAGAUGAAAAGGAGCUGGAGAUCUGAAGAGCGCUUUGACAUCAGACAUGGAGGUGCAGACUCUGGAGUUGGCCCAACUGCUUUCCUGUCUGGCUCUGGGGAUCACAGUUAAGUGAUUGGACGACUCUCAGACUUUGAACUCUGGACUUUUAACAUUGUUGAGGCGCUAUAGACUAAGGGAACUUUUGAAGUUGGACUAAAUGUAUUUUGCAUUAUGCUAUGUUUAGGUAUGGUCCCCAUAGAGUCAUAUGUUUGAACAAGCUUAUGGAGGCCAGAGAGUGGAAUGUGAUGGUUUGUAUAUGCUCCGCCCAGGGAGUAGCACUAUUAGAAGGUGUGGCCCUGUUGGAGUGGGUGUGGCCUUGUUGG